rnacentral:rRNA from 1 species
CCUACGGGCGGCAGCAGUGGGGAAUAUUGGACAAUGGGGGCAACCCUGAUCCAGCCAUGCCGCGUGUGUGAAGAAGGCCCUCGGGUUGUAAAGCACUUUCAGUGAGGAAGAACGCCUGGUGGUUAAUACCCAUCAGGAAAGACAUCACUCACAGAAGAAGCACCGGCUAACUCCGUGCCAGCAGCCGCGGUAAUACGGAGGGUGCGAGCGUUAAUCGGAAUUACUGGGCGUAAAGCGCGCGUAGGUGGCUUGAUAAGCCGGUUGUGAAAGCCCCGGGCUCAACCUGGGAACGGCAUCCGGAACUGUCAAGCUAGAGUGCAGGAGAGGAAAGUAGAAUUCCCGGUGUAGCGGUGAAAUGCGUAGAGAUCGGGAGGAAUACCAGUGGCGAAGGCGGCCUUCUGGACUGACACUGACACUGAGGUGCGAAAGCGUGGGUAGCAAACAGGAUUAGAUACCCCGGUAGUC